rnacentral:lncRNA from 13 species
AUGUCAAAAUUGAAUGUAGACAUUAUUAAAUGCAUUUUUAUAGCUUCCAAAAUCUAUUUUUACAAUGGAGGAGGAGUACCAAGAUGGCUGUGCGGUGGCUUCAUUACAAUGGAGGAGGAGUACCAAGAUGGCUGUGCAUUGGCUUCAUUACAAUGGAGGAGUACCAAGAUGGCUGUGCAUUGGCUUCAUUACAAUGGAGGAGGAGUAACAAGAUGGCUGUGCAUUGGCUUCAUUACAAUGAAGGAGGAGAGCCAAGAUGGCUGUGCAUUGGCUUCAUUACAAUGGAGGAGGAGUAACAAGAUGGCUGUGCAUUGGCUUCAUUACAGAGCCCCCUGUGGCUGCCAGCCUUCCAGGGUUUAGACACAUCAUUGGUUACGUUCAGAUAUUUCUUCAGAAUAAUGCAGCACAUAUUCAUGUUCCCCUAAUCAGUUGGUUCUCUGUGAAUGGGUGGCUUUUAUACCUUAUUGACAUACUUGCAGUUAUUUAGCUCAACAAUGUGUAGACUAACAGCAUCUCAUGACGAGAACGGUAAAUGUGUCCAAAUUCAGGAACCAAUCUUUCCUUAUAAAGAUAUCAGGCUUACCUCAUAAAAGCCAAGCAUUAUGACACGUGCAAUUACAAUACAUUCUAUCCUAAUGCAUCACCAAACCAUUAUCUACCGUGAUGUGUAAAAUAACAAAUAUUAAAAAGUGUGCCUCACUGAAAAUAGUUCCCAGUAUGGAUUUAUAAUAUAUACUGCUUUGACUCUUACCGUAAGUCUGUGUACAGUACACAUACAUAGAAUAAAUAGAUUGCAUUAUUGCUUAAAUAAUGACAGCCCUGUAUAAUAAAACACGUGGUCUACCGUCAUUUACUUGUGCAGUGUACAACAACCAACACUAGAUGGUGCUAACUGUAUGAUAAACAACAAGUGACACAAAGUUGAACAUGUCCAUAUUCACAGUGAGCACAAGAUGUUGAAAAUACAUAUUGUUUCUAUGUUUAGUGAAUCUACUGCACUAGGGGGUUUGAUACCCAGCGGGUCCCAUUACUGUUAAAUGAUGAGAUCUGUGAUGAUUACCAGGAGUGAAGUCUAGUGUGAGCCGGACUUCUUUCGUGUGUUUCAGGUUCCCCCCCCUACUUAUUCAUUAUGAUUUUCAACCACAAAUGCAAAUAUAUUUUUUUGCUCAUAAAGCUGUUUUUCUCAUUCCUCUAAGAAAAAAAAGCAGGUAUCUUCACUUCAUCUAAAACCAUAGAAAAGUUAUGAGUUAUUCCACAGAUUCCACAGAUUUUAUGUCAAAAGUGUAUUAGAGUACAAUCUUAGGGGAAAAAAAUUGAUAUACAGAACCUAAAAUGGUUCUUUGGCUAUCCAUAUAGGAAAACCCUUUGUAGAACCCUUUUUGGAACUAGAUAGAACCCUUUUGGGUUCCAGGGUAGAACCCUUUUGGGUUCCAUGGUUCCAUGUUCUACAAAGGGUUCUCCUAUGGGGAUAGCCGAAUAACCAUUUUAGGUUUUAGAUAAGAGUGUACAGUAUGAAUGAAUUACCUGUACGGUUCUAUUUCUGAGUUUGGAUAAACAAGUGAAAACCAAACACACACAAAAAAUCUAAAUCUAAAUGCUUUACAUUGACAGAUUUGUGUUAAUAAAAAUUAUUGUUUUGUGUUUGAAAAAACUAAGUCAAGGUAGAUACAGUCCAUAAUGCAGGUGAGUGACCCUACAAUAUAUUUUCAAUGUAUAUGCUGUACAUUGCAUUACAUACUCUACAUACAGCAUAUUUCAACGCUGUCAUGACAAUAUGGUAAGUGCAAAUAUGUUAACAUGUA